AGAUCUCAUCCUAAGGAGGGGAGCAGCUCACAUGACUCCCAACAACAAAACAACUUAGGAAAACACAGCAGUGCAACGCAGGAGGGGGUAAUGCAACAGAGGAUGAGCACAGGAGAACCGUACAGGCGUGCUUCAACAUGUGGACUAUAGCAAAGUCAAAAUGCUAUGCCUGUCCUGGUCCCCCAGAUUGUGUGCCCAAGAGAUGGAAGGACUGUAGUGAGGAUGAAAUGGGCUGUCAUGGACCUCCAGUGAGGAACUGUGCCUGCACCUACAUUGCAUAUGGCAAGAAUGUACCCAAGUGGAUAUUAGGCCUAGCCCAGAGGCUCUGCACAGAUAAAGCCAAGUCAGACCCACUGUCUCCACGGUCUCCAAACUGUACAGUGUGAACUAAAAUCUGUCUACUCCACUCCUUCUUGAGCUCCGUUGACAUACCUGGACAUUAUAGUUGUGAGGACUUAGUCAAUUUCCAGUUAUACAAACCUGAAGAUGAUGGUUUUUUUUCCUUUUCAUUCAAGGUGGAAAGUUUAAUUUGAAAGAUCAGAGGAACUAGCAAGACUGGACAAGCUAGAGCUGAUUUAAAAGAUAAAGGACCAACAGCUAUCUGGCCUGAUAAAGUAAGGGUUAAUUUAAAUCACCCUAGGCCAGAGAAAGGCUUAGCUUAAUCAAACUGGAACCAAGGUCUAGCCACAGCCAAAACCCAAGUGGGAAAUCCAAAACCACAAAUCACAUUUGAUUUUCGUCCAUGGCAACACUUCAAAUCCAGCUUUCUGCUCAUAAGCAUCCAGCACAGGGGCCUUGGGGGUCCCUGCACUCCAGUGGGUCUGGGCAUCCAGAGCAUCAGGACCGAUCAACUCACUGAAAUAGCCUGGAAGGGCAGGAAGAAGGGGCCAAGGAUGAAGGGGUGGGGCAAGGUCAUGUCAGCAUCUGAGUGAGACACACCAGGGUGUCAUUCUCUACUUUACCUUCUGACUCAGAGGCUUUCAAACUGUCCCAAGGAAAAAUAGUCCAAGUCUCAUGUGGGACUGUUUACCUGCAUAUAGAUCUGUGUAUGUGUGUGCUUGAAAAUACGACACAGGUUGAUUUUAAUGAAUAUAACCAACAAGCCCAGCAGCCAGAAUAUAUAAAGAACUAACUCUGACAACCAAAAAGUAAAAGUCAGCAAGGCAGAAAACCUGGCAAAGGAUUCAGAAGCGUUUCCCAUAAAAGAGGCUGCUACAGAGUCAGCCUCACAAGUGAUGCACAGCGAGGCAUCAGACUUGAGCUCCACAGUAGAGGUUGUUGAUGAAGAUGCGGAGGGAGGUUUUCUCCUGAACUCUGAAGGGGAAGCAAUCAGUAGGCCCACCUUGGAAACCAGUUUAUUAAUAAGUAAUCCACCUCCUGCUCAAAAGAGACUUAUAAACAAACAAACAAAAAAAAUGAAUGCUGAAGCCAAUAUGGAGGGAGGGAGAAUGAAGAAUUGACCCAAAUGGUCAAAUCAGAGAGAGUUUUAACAAUGUAAUACUGAACAGCCUGGGUCAGGUAUUCCUAUAAAGAGCCACUUAGUUACAUAAUGGAGAUUUUGCCAGCCAUUUUGAUUUUCGUCUGUAUUACAAUGACUUGAUUUGGCUAUUGUACUGAUACUUGAUAAACAAAGGACACAGUCGUCUUCUAAUAAAACUUUAUUUACAAACAC
rnacentral:lncRNA from 1 species